rnacentral:rRNA from 1 species
ACGAACGCUGGCGGCGUGCUUAACACAUGCAAGUCGAACGGAAAGGCCCUGCUUGCAGGGUACUCGAGUGGCGAACGGGUGAGUAACACGUGGGUGAUCUGCCCUGCACUUCGGGAUAAGCCUGGGAAACUGGGUCUAAUACCGGAUAGGAGCCAUUUUUAGUGUGAUGGUUGGAAAGUUUUUUCGGUGUAGGAUGAGCUCGCGGCCUAUCAGCUUGUUGGUGGGGUAAUGGCCUACCAAGGCGGCGACGGGUAGCCGGCCUGAGAGGGUGGACGGCCACAUUGGGACUGGGAUACGGCCCAGACUCCUACGGGAGGGAGCAGUGGGGAAUAUUGCACAAGGGGCGCAAGCCUGAUGCAGCGACGCCGCGUGGGGGAUGACGGCCUUCGGGUUGUAAACUCCUUUCGCUAGGGACGAAGCUUUUUGUGACGGUACCUAGAUAAGAAGCACCGGCUAACUACGUG